GGGGGGGCAGAGUGAAUCUCAGGUCUAGGUCAUCAGAAGCUUGAUAGAAGGCAUCUGCCAUGCAAUUGUAUUAGGACAGUGAAAUCAACCAAUCACGUUGACUUGUAAUGGGUGGCACCAUUUUUUACAAAGACAUAUGGAAACGUCUGCCUUUUCGAAGGCCGACAGGCGACGGGAUAGGUCGAGGAGGAGUAAAUGGCCACGGGAUAGGUCGAGGAGGAGUAAAUGGCCACGGGAUAGGUCGAGGAGGAGUAAAUGGCGACGGGAUAGGUCGAGGAGGAGUAAAUGGCGAGGGGAUAGGUCGAGGAGGAGUAAAUGGCCACGGUGCUUGAAUCCUAUAGUGCGGCAAUUGAAGUGUGUGAUAAUGAAUUUAAAAAAUAGUGAAAUUAAAAGAAUGGAACAAAAUAAGUUGUAGUAGAAGACAAGGACUGGUGCAAUAAUGCAUUUCUUAUUGGGCUGCGCUUUUUGGGGGGACAAGGAGAUUCGUUUGGGAAAUCAAUUUGUAGUAUCGAGGACUGUAAAGGAAAGUAAAGGGAAAGGUGGGAUUCAAUCAAGGUGACUAGAUGUUGUUUUGGUUCAUUGUUUUGAUGAAGAACAGAAGAAGCUUGCACUGCAUCUGGCAAAGUUGUCCAUGUCAGAAGUAUUGAUCUUCGGAGCACGGUGCCUGCCAAAGGAGUUACAGCUGGAGUCUCCUUGGAUAUGGAUGAGCACCUUAGUCAGAAGAUCCCAAGAGGGGUCAGUGCAUGUUGCCUGACCUGUAUGGUAAAUGGAAGGAAGGAGAAAAGCCUGUGGAUAUUAUUGUUGUUUGAGACUCUACCUGAAUAUGUGAAGGACAAAUGUGAGGUAUGUGGUGAGAGCAUUUACGUCCAAACCGUUACAGGUCACGUCAAAUGUUUGCCGACGGGAGUAAGUAUGAAGUUGAAGAAUCUGUGAAUGGAAAAUGUUGCAACUGUGGUGGGGAUCAUACUUCGGAUUUCCUUGAGUGUUAGAAGGCCGAAGGAGGACCAUGGUUGCAUUUAAACUUUAGAUCACCGGUUACUUUGUAGCUGAAUGUUAAAUGUUUUUUUUUUAGCAAUGGGAAGUAAUACUUGUACAUUUAGAUUGGGAAAUGCCUAAUCCAGGUGAAAAAUAUUGGAUAAGAGUAGAGAGCGAGAGAUCAUGAGCAGAUGGGCUCCUGCAUUUUUAAAAAAAAAUUUUUUUUUACAAAAGAUAAACUUGUUUUUUUUCCUCAAGGACAUAUACAUGAUACUACCCUCCACUCCAAUUCAAAACUCCAAACCUACAACCUGAUUUUGGACAAAAUUACCUGGUAAGAUUCCUACUACCAAACAUUCUUAAUUUCCAAGGACUAUAUAGCUAAUGCGCUGGAAAACCAACGACCAGCAAGAGAUGCACAACAGAAACCUGAAAACACCAUCCAACCUGGAACUGAGUAAUGUUUAGUCUGAAGCUACUUUAAAAGCCAAGAAGAUAAAAUAUGUAUUUCAAUUACAUAUUUUACUUUAUAAGGAAUUAAUAAUAAAUUAAGGCUACCAAGCUUGCUAGGACAGAACCGAUCCGGCUGCAACUUCAAAUAGCACUGAUGUAUGAAGUGUGAAGUGAGAGGUGUCAAUGCUCUUGAGCCCAAAAAUGGCAGGAGAGUUUCCCAGCCUACCACAUACACAUGCAGAGGCCUUUGAAGCUUCCUCCCUCUGUGGGAGGUCAUUAUGAUACAGUACCCCCUGGAUUCAUCUCUAUUUUGAACUGAUCUGCAGCCAGGACACUUCAGUUGUAAACUACCUCAAUAAGAAGCGAUAUUGUUGCUUUGAUCACAUCAGCAGAUAUCCUCCUCAGAAUCUCCAAAAUACAAUAGACACAGGAUAACUUUGUUUGGACGUCGUAAAGGACCAUUUGCCGAAAAUGAAGAGAUAUAGCUAGCCUUUUGCACGUGGAAAAAAAAACAGUGGACAGAGACUUGCUAGCUAUGUUAGCUAGCUAGCUGGAAUUUAGCUACGUUAGCUAACUAGCUGGGAUUUAGCUAUGUUAGCUAACUAGCUGGGAUUUAGCUACGUUAGCUAGCUAGCUGGGAUUUAGCUACGUUAGCUAGCUUGCUGGAAUUUAGCUACGUUAGCUAACUAGCUGGGAUUUAGCUACAUCAGAAAAAAAAUACUCCCAAGUGGGUACAAUAUGAGCUUGUUGCAAUCUUGUUGCAAUCUGAUGAAUUUUCAAAUGUCAUAAAAAUACUGCAGAGCUCUCCCUGUCCUCUGCCGUGCCCUGAUUGUAUUAUUGCUGAUGAUAUUGGGAAAUGUGCUUGUACACCCUGGCCCACCUACUGUUGCUAGCCUCAAUUCUGACUUGUGAGCUGAUAUCGGCUUCACUGAUUUCCGCUCUAGUAAAAGCCUGGGUUUUCUGCACUAGAAGCUUAUUACCUAAAAUGUCUCAAUUGAAAGUGUGGGUUCACUGCUCCAAUCCAGAUGUGUUGGUCAUUACUGAGACGUGGUUCAGAAAGAGUGUUUUGAACACUGAUGUUAACCUUUAUGGUUAUAACCUUUUUCGGCAAGACAGAUCUUCCAAAGGUGGUGGAGUGGCAAUCUUUACCAAGGAUCACCUUCAGUGCUCAGUUGUCUUCACCAAGUCUGUCCCCAAACAAUUUGAUUUGCUGGUUUUAAGCAUUAAACUUUCAAAUAGCUCUUUGUUGACUGUUGCUGGGUGUUAUCGUUCACCAUCAGCACCGGCCUGUACCCUACCUGCCCUAAGCUCUCUCCCGGCCCCUUACACACAAAUCUUUCUCAGAUUUUUACCGAUCCCAAAAGGUAUGACUCCAAACACCCAGAAAUAGCUACUCUACUCAAUGUUAACAUUACAAAUAAUCCUGAAAGGUAUCAGUCUGGUGUUUUCUGUAAUGACCUUAGUGAUCACUGUUUUACAGCCUGUGUUUGUAAUGGCUGCUCAGUGAAACGACCUGUCCUGAUUUAUCAUAGACGGUUUCUAAAAAACUUUAAUGAGUAAGCCUUCCUUCAAGAACUGGGCUCUGUAAAGUCUUAUAGAAUCAGCUUGAUCCCCUCUGUUGAAGACACUCUGACCUUUUAAAAAAUAUUUUUAGUGGUAUUGUUAACAAACACGCCCCCAAAAUUACAAUUUAAAUUAAAACAGGUUCAGGUUCAGCCCCUGGUUCGACUGUGAUUGGCAGAGUUACUCCACCUCAAAAAUUCCAUUUGGCGAAAGACUCAGCACACACAUACUCAGGCUGACUGGCUCUCGUUCAGGCAAAAUAGAAAUAAGUGCACUUAGGCUAUCGGGAAGGCCAAAGAUAGUUACUUUAAGAAGCACUUGUCUCUCUGUGGGUCUAACACCAAGAAGUUUUGGAAAACGGUUAAAGACCUGUAGAAUAAGCCCUCCUCAUCACAGCUGCCCAUUUCCCUUAAUGUUAAUGAUGUGGUUGUAACUGACAAGAAACACAUGGCUGAGCUCUUUAAUCACCACUUCAUUAAGUCAGGAUUCCUAUUUGACUCAGCCAUGCCUCCUUACUCAUCCAACAUUUCCUCAUCACCUGCCACUUCUAAUGCGAUUAGCCCCGAUGCUCUUCCCUCUUUUUCACCUGCUCCGAUACAAAUUUUCUCCCUGCAGGCAGUCACUGAGUCUGAGGAGCUCCUUAAACUUGACCUCGAAAAAACAUCUCAUUCUUUAAGGUUGCUGCCCCUAUCAUCGCCAAGCCUAUCUCUGACCUUUUUAACCUGUCUCUCCUCUCUGGGGAGGUUCCCAUUGCUUGGAAGGCAGCCAUGGUGCAUCCUUUAUUUAAAGGGGUAGAUCAAGCUGAUCCUAACUGUUAUAGGCCUAUUUGUAUUUUGCCCUGUUUAUCAAAAGUGUUGGAAGAACUUGUCAAUAAUCAACUGACUGGCUUUCUUGAUGUCUUUAGUAUUCUCUCUGGUAUGCAAUCUGGUUUCCGCUCAGGUUAUGGAUGUUUCACUGCAACCUUAAAGGCCCUAAAUUAUGUUACCUUCUACGCUAUGUUGCGAUGCUAUUUUUAUUGACUUGGCCUAAGCUUUUGAUACGGUAAAUCAUUCCAUUCUUGUUGGCGGGCUAAGGAGUAUUGGUGUCUCUGAGGGGUCUUUGGCCUAGUUUGCUAACUAACUCUCUCAAAGAGUGAAGUGUAUAAAGUCAGAACAUCUGCUGUCUCAGCCACUGCCUGUCACCAAGGGAGUACACCAAGGCUCAAUCCUAGGCCGCACGCUCUUCUCAAUUUACAUCAACAACAUAGCUUAAGUAGUAGGAAGCUCUCUCUACCAUUUAUAUGCAGAUGAUACAGUCAUAUACUCAGCUGGCCCCUCCCCGGAUUUUGUAUUAAACGCUCUCCAACAAGCUUUCUCUGCCUUAACCUAGUUCUGAACACCUCCAAAACAAAGGUCAUGUGGUUUGGUAAGAAGAAUGCCCCUCUCCCCACAGGUGUGAUUACUACCUAUGAGGGUUUAGAGUUUAAGGUAGUCACCUCAUAUAAGUAGUUGGGAGUAUGACUAGAUGGUACACGGUCCUUCUCUCAGCACAUAUCAAAGCUGCAGGCUAAAGUUAAAUCUAGACUUGGUUUCCUCUAUCGUAAUCGCUCCUUUUUCACCCCAGCUGCCAAACUAACCUUGAUUCAGAUUACAAUCCUACCCAUGCUAGAUUACAGAGACAAAAUGUAUAGAUCGGCAGGUAAGGGUGCUCUCGAGAGGCUAGAUGUUCUUUACCAUUCGGCCAUCAGAUUUGCCACCAAUGCUCCUUAUAGGACACAUCACUGCACUCUAUACUCCUCUGUAAACUGGUCAUCUCUGUGUACCGGUCGCAAGACCCACUGGUUGAUGUUUAUUUAUAAAACCCUCUUAGUCCUCACUCCCCCCAGUCUGAGAUAUCUACUGCAGCCCUCAUCCUCCAUAUACAACACCUGUUCUGCCAGUCACAUUCUGUUAAAGGUCCCCAAAGCACACACAUCCCUGGGUCGCUCCUCUUUUCAGUUCGCUGCAGCUAGCGACUGGAACGAGCUGCAACAAACACUCAAACUGGACAGUUUUAUCUCAAUCUCUUCAUUCAAAGACUCAAUCAUGGACACUCUUACUGACAGUUGUGGCUGCUUCACGUGAUAUAUUUUUGUCUCUACCUUCUUGCCUUUGUGUCGUUGUCUGUGCCCAAUAAUGUUUUUCCAUGUUUUGUGCUGCUACCAUGUUGUGUUGCUACCAUGUUGUCAUGUUGUUUUUCUACCAUGCUGUGUUGUCAUGUUGUGUUUCUACCAAGCUGUGUUGUCAUGUUGUGUUUCUACCAUGCUGUGUUGUCAUGUUGUGUUUCUACCAUGCUGUGUUGUCAUGUUGUGUUUCUACCAUGCUGUGUUGUCAUGUUGUGUUUCUACCAUGCUGUGUUGUCAUGUUGUGUUGUCAUGUUGUGUUUCUACCAUGCUGUGUUGUCAUGUUGUGUUUCUACCAUGUUGUGUUGUCAUGUUGUGUUUCUACCAUGCUGUGUUGUCAUGUUGUGUUUCUACCAUGCUGUGUUGUCAUGUUGUGUUUCUACCGUGCUGUGUUGUCAUGUUGUGUUGCUACCGUGCUGUGUUGUCAUGUUGUGUUUCUACCAAGCUGUGUUGUCAUGUUGUGUUUCUACCAUGCUGUGUUGUCAUGUUGUGUUGUCAUGUUGUGUUUCUACCAUGCUGUGUUGUCAUGUUGUGUUUCUACCAAGCUGUGUUGUCAUGUUGUGUUGUCAUGUUGUGUUUCUACCAUGCUGUGUUGUCAUGUUGUGUUGUCAUGUUGUGUUUCUACCAUGCUGUGUUGUCAUGUUGUGUUUCUACCAAGCUGUGUUGUCAUGUUGUGUUUCUACCAUGCUGUGUUGUCAUGUUGUGUUUCUAUCAUGCUGUGUUAUGUUGUGUUUCUACCAUGCUGUGUUGUUGUCUUAGGAGUCUCUCUUGUCGUGAUGUGUGUUUUGUCCUAUAUUUUUAAUCCCCCGUCCCUGCAGGAGGCCUUUUGCCUUUUGGUAGGCCACCAUUGUAAAUAAGAAUUUGUUUUUCACUGACUUGCCUAGUUAAAUACAAAUAAAUAAAACAAAAUUUUGGUUGGUGUUUUUGUAUUCUUAUGAUUGGGACCUACUGGCUUAGUGAAUGGACAGCUUAUCCUUUAACAUGCUGUGUGUGACUGCUGUCUUUCCAUUGGCUAUAUACAGUGGUGUGGUGGUACCAGGAGAAGUGGCCCUAUGUAGUGGUACCAGGAGAAGUGGCCCUAUGUAGUGGUACCAGGAGAAGUGGGUCCUAUGUAGUGGUGUAGAGGUACCAGGAGAAGUGGCCCUAUGUAGUGGUACCAGGAGAAGUGGCCCUAUGUAGUGGUACCAGGAGAAGUAGUCCUAUGUAGUGGUACCAGGAGAAGUAGUCCUAUGUAGUGGUACCAGGAGAAGUAGUCCUAUGUAGUGUUGUAGUGGUACCAGGAGAAGUGGCCCUAUGUGGUGGUACCAGGAGAAGUGGCCCUAUGUGGUGGUACCAGGAGAGUGGCCCUAUGUAGUGGUACCAGGAGAAGUAGUCCUAUGUAGUGGUACCAGGAGAAGUAGUCCUAUGUAGUGUUGUAGUGGUACCAGGAGAAGUGGCCCUAUGUGGUGGUACCAGGAGAAGUGGGCCCUAUGUAGUGGUACCAGGAGAAGUGGGCCCUAUG
ensembl:lncRNA